rnacentral:rRNA from 1 species
GAUGAACGCUGGCGGCGUGCCUAAUACAUGCAAGUCGAGCGAACGGACGAGAAGCUUGCUUCUCUGAUGUUAGCGGCGGACGGGUGAGUAACACGUGGAUAACCUACCUAUAAGACUGGGAUAACUUCGGGAAACCGGAGCUAAUACCGGAUAAUAUUUUGAACCGCAUGGUUCAAAAGUGAAAGACGGUCUUGCUGUCACUUAUAGAUGGAUCCGCGCUGCAUUAGCUAGUUGGUAAGGUAACGGCUUACCAAGGCAACGAUGCAUAGCCGACCUGAGAGGGGGAUCGGCCACACUGGAACUGAGACACGGUCCAGACUCCUACGGGAGGCAGCAGUAGGGAAUCUUCCGCAAUGGGCGAAAGCCUGACGGAGCAACGGCGCGUGAGUGAUGAAGGUCUUCGGAUCGUAAAACUCUGUUAUUAGGGAAGAACAUAUGUGUAAGUAACUGUGCACAUCUUGACGGUACCUAAUCAGAAAGCCACGGCUAACUACGUG